UCAGUCGUCAGACGGUCGCGAGCAAAUAGUAAAAUAACUUGCAUAAACAGGUCGCGAGCGUGAGCGAGUUCGGACGUGCGCAGUCGCAGAUAGCUAGUAUUUGUGCUCGGACUUACACGCCGAUUGAGUUUGUUUUUAUUAUUUAAUAGUUAAUCAUCAUUAUGACUUCUGAGAGACAGAAAUUUUACAAACACAAAAUUAAAAGGUAUUUAGCUGAUAUACAUGAAGCAUCGGAAAGCAUCCACCCUUCUAAUAGUCAAAAUGGAGAUUCGCAGAUAUUUCUUGAUUCAAGAAGCUACA